rnacentral:rRNA from 1 species
UACGGAGGAUGCAAGCGUUAUCCGGAUUUAUUGGGCGUAAAGCGUCCGCAGGUGGUUGUACAAGUCUGUUGUUAAAGCGUGGAGCUUAACUCCAUAACGGCGAUGGAAACUGUGCGACUAGAGUACGGCAGGGGUAGCGGGAAUUCCCAGUGUAGCGGUGAAAUGCGUAGAUAUUGGGAAGAACACCGGCGGCGAAAGCGCGCUACUGGGCCUGUACUGACACUCAUGGACGAAAGCUAGGGGAGCGAAAGGG